ACACAGAGGGUCACAGAGCAGAGGAUGAGCAGCAGGAUGAAAACGGAGAAAAUACUCAAACAUCAACCACUGAGGAACAAAUCUGGACCAGAACCAGGGGUGAAAACGCCGCUGCUCUGGAUCRUUUUCUGCUCUCAGUUGGAACAGAAAAGUACCGUCGUCGCCUGGCAACCUCAGCCUUCUAAUAUGCAUUUAAAACCAUUAACAGAAAAUGGAUCUAUAAGCCUAUCCAUYAUGCUGCA